rnacentral:lncRNA from 1 species
GCAGGAGUUGGAAGCUGAAGAUCAAACCUUCACAAGUCAGACGCAGAAGCUUCUUUCUUUCAUUAACCCACUUGAAAUAUUGGGGUCGAGAGAGAUCGAAGAAAAAUUAAAAGUCCUCUUGCAGGAUCUAGAUCCCUUAGUUGAACGAAUGGCAGCCCUUGGUUUGAACAACCGCAAUGUAGAAAAUCCACCAUCGCAUAGAACACCAACAACUUCUCUCGUGGAUGAAUCUGGUGUUUAUGGUAGAGAUGAUGACAGGGAAGCAAUACUGAAGUUGCUUCUAUCAGAGGAUGCAAAUGGAGAAAACCCUGGUGUCGUCCCCAUUAGGGGAAUGGGCGGGGUUGGUAAAACCACGCUUGCUCAGCUUGCUUCCAUUCUCUCCUUUUCUCCUUAUCCGCAUCUUCAAAAAUUCAAAAUCUUUUCCCCACCUCUUUCUCUAAUCUAUUCCCCUUCUCCAAAAAUUCAAAAUCCAAAAACUUUUGAUUUAUUUAUUUUAUUAUCACUUAACUUUGAUUAAAAAACUUUUCUUGAAGUUUACUUCCAUCAAAGAUCUUUUAUAGAUAUAAAAAGAAGAGAUAAUAUAAAAUUCAUCCGCGUAUUGGAAUCACAAUUCAGAAUCAAGUUAAAGCGGCCAAUGUCACUCGAGAGAGUAGGCACUUGCAAAUCUGCUAAUAAUUAUUGGAGCAUCACCCUUCCGCACAAUCAACAGAAAGUCAUCAUCUUGAGAACCCACAGCAAAGAGUUCAUUUUUUUGCAGUAGAUACGUAGCUAUAUUAACAACGAUACUUCCAGCAUGCACAAAUGGGACUUCUUGAUGGUUACGCUGCUAAAGACAUUUACAAAUCCCCAUCAAUACUGGUGUUUAUUCCUCAUGAUGAUCCAGUGAGCUGACAAUAAAAGAAAACCUCGGCAUUACUAGUAAAUCGUCACUGCAAGCAUGGAAGAGAUUCAGGUAGGAAUUACCCUUGUCUUCAUUGAGAGGCUUUAACCUCCCUUGUCAGCAGGCCCAUGGUUCGAUGCAUCCUCUGAAGCGUCUAAGCAAGGAUUGCUUUUACACUGACUUACAGGCUGAGAAAGUUGGGACCCCUUUUGCGAAAAGUUUGGUUUACCUUUCGGAGUCUCAGACAGGCUUCCCGUUGACAGCUUUGCUAGGCCCAUUGUCUUGUGCUCACGCGGGAGCUUUGUUGAAAAAGGUGAUUCAGGUGUAUCAGGAUGCUUCCCAGGAAUAUCCAUCGGUCUAUGAAACAGCAAAUGAGCCACAGUCCGGUCUACCGGAUUGGUCUCUGUUUCCACCUCAGGCAUCUUAACCACCCUGCAGUAUACUCAUAAAAUCCAUGAGGAAAAUGACAGGAAACUUUGAGAUUGCCAUACUCUAAACAAAUUGAUAAAGACUUGAUUAAUAAUUUUGUGCAAACAAAUUGAAUGAUUUGAAAUGGGAAGGACGAGAUGUAAAGGAACAAACCCAUUGGAACAAGAAACAAUCACAUUGUCGCUUACAACAAAAAAUCGAGUUUCAGAUCAAAACAGCUUAUGGUUUUGGCUGGAAGUGUCCCAUUUAGACAUUGAUGAGCCGAUUAGAAGAUGAUUUGAGUUCUUAAAUUUCUUGCUUAAAAUGUAAUGUAUCAUGAUUCUGCAGAUGAUCAUUAAAUUAGAAGGGAAAUUUAAUUUUGCCCUGUUUAUCUAAAGUUGUGCAAGUUCUCUGCAUUGAUGAUUCCAGUGAAUUUGUACAGAUCUUGUUUUCCUUCUAUUUGUCCUUGAAUAAACUUAUUGCACUUGUUGAACAAUCUUUGUUUCUCUCUCUUAGUUAAAUCUAGUAAAAUUUAUCAUGUAUGUUGUGCCACUCAUUUAGACUUGGAUGUGCGUGUUUAGCUCUUCUUUUCGGAUUAAGGUGAUUAUGCACAAAUUCACUGGAAUCAACAUUGCAGAAAACUUGCAUAGAUUUUGUUAAUAUUGGAAAAAUUAAAUUCGUUUUCUAAUUAAAUGAAAAUCUCUCCUAAAUAUUAUGCUAUUUGAAUUGUCACCUCAUGACUACUUGCUGCACUGCACUCAUGAAUGCUGCACCAGGGUAAAGCUACAAAUGUCAGUUUAAUAUCUGCCUCUACCUAGGUUGGCCUACAUACAAUACCAAAGCUUCUCUCAACUAAAUCAAGACAUGAUGACCAGCACUCACAAUCAUAACAGAACCAGUGGAAGCGAACUACUACAUAUUUGAUCAACAAGGUCAAAUUCAGUCAAGUUUUUAAGGAAAUCCAGUGAAAGAGGAACCUAAAAUUUUCUGUUUAGAUUUUCUUCUACUUCUAAGAACAAGCGCUGCCUUAAUUGAAUUGUUUCAGUCACUAUUCCUCCAUUGUAAAUAGAGGAUACCGUUUUCAAUAUUUAUUUCCAGAGUGAGAAUGGAAAACAGAAAAUGGUGAUGGCAUUAAAAGAUCCUAAUUUAACAUUUCCAUAGAGCAAAAAUGUUUUUUAAAAAAGAGAGAGGAUAGAUUAAAUUUGAAAACAGAAGCAUGAGAAAUGCAUUACCUUAACCAACCUUCUUUGACUACUAUUGUUUGUACUGCCAGUAUCACUAGCAUAAUGCCUUUGCAUUGCACUUUGAGCCAGCCGGAACAAGCUAUCCCGAAUACAAAGUCUAAUUCUGACAUCCAACUGUUGUAAAACAUUGGUUUGGAAUCGUAACCAAGCACAAAUUAUUUAGCAGGGAAAGAAUGCAAUAGUAGGUGAAGCAUACCUUUGAAAUAAUAUCUUGAAGCCUGUAGAGUACUGUGUCCUCCAUUGAAUAAUCAUUAACCGCCAGAGAGACUGUAUUGGAAUCGUCUUGCUCAAUAGGUGAGUUUGGGUCAAAUGAAGCAAGUGUACUUAGAUCCUCUACUUCAAGGUCAGCUCCUUCAACAUGCUGAAUUUGAUUUUCUUGGGAACACUUUUGAUGAACAAGCUGCUGCUGCUGUUUCUGAAUGGCAAGCAUUGCCUGAAUUUGUUGCCGCCUCCUUAAUUUUUCAAUCUUUUCCUGAGGUGUCAUUCUCUGGGGUUUCACUGGACAGUCAGCUAACUUGUUUAUAGGAUUUGCAUUGCCUGAAACUUCAUAACCAGAAAUUUUAGGUCGAUGAUUAAAUGACUAGAAAUUUUGUUGGAAAGUCAGAAAACUUUAACAGGAUUCGCAUUACCUGAAGAAACUUCAUAACCAGAAGCUAAAGGUUGAUGCUUAAAAUCCCCAGACUGAAUGUGGGACAACCCAGGCAUAGAAUAUGGAUUUGUAAUACUCCCGUAGGCAGAAGGGGCCACAAAUGGAUUGGAUAUCUGCUGGUACUGCAACUGCUCGGAACCCUGUAGCUGCUUCUGUUGGCUGAGAAUUGAAGGGGGAGAAGAUUGCAUAAUUUGGGGUUCUAAAUGAUCCUUAAGUUGACAGGCUGGGAUUCCAGAUGAAGUCCAGUUUCCAUAAAAAUCUUGGUAUGAUUUCAGUUCACCUUUUUCUUCCAGUUUUUCCCGACCUUUCAAGAUCUUCUUUUGCCUGUAAGUCUGAUCACAGAACUAUAAACAUAUAAAUAGACAAAUUACUUAGAAUAGAUCAACGUUUUAACCAUCUAGACCUGCAGGGGAGAGUGACUAAGGCACAGUUAGUAUUUUAACUCAGUACAUGGUUUGUAAGGAUAAAUUCAAUGUUAUUUUUUUUUUUUAAUUGUAACUUACGAUCCAAAGGGCUUCUAUUGUUCAGAAUAUAUUGAGGUAUUAGCUAAACUAUGCCAAGCAAACAGAAUUUGCAUGUCCCUGGGAAGAGUGGGUGUCAUACUAGAAAUAUAAAUUACUGAUGCCUCCUGAAUUUUGACAUGCUAUUCCUUUCUCCUUCCUACUAACAGAAAACCAGACAAUGGCUUUACUUUAGGCAAUCGAUAUCAUGGUUAAGUCAUGGAUUUGACAUCAAGGAUAACUUAAUUGAUGCAUUAUUGAAGUGAUGACUAAAUCAUGUAAAUCCAUAUUCACCCAACAUCCAAGUUUAAUCUCAUUCCAAAAAAUAAAACUAAUAGCAUGAAUUAUGAAGAGACGAAGAGGAAUUUAAAUAAUAUAAUUUCUCUUUUCUGUCGCCAUUUUCCAUUCCAGAGAAGUACUCAGGAAGUCUUAAUAAGUUCAAGUGUAAGGUAACUUUUACCCUUCCCAGCUCUAAUUAGGUUUCGCUGUCCCUCCAAUCUAAUUUAAGAUCUAAUAUGAGGAAACCACACUGUAUUAGUGAAAGGAUCACAAUAUCAAGAUUUUCCAACUUCAAUUCACUGAUAUAACUUUUCUUGAAUCCUGGACAAAAGAACUUAGAACAUCAAAAGAUCAUAGCAGGAUUCUAAAAAACAAAGAUUGUAUUUGGUGCCUAUUGAGUCUAAAAGUUAUCUUGGAUGAAAAGGGUAAAAAUCAGUAAUAUGUCUGGUUCAGUAUCAAGAUUUUGAAAAUAUCAAAAGGAAGAAAAAAAAAGGUACCUUGUUUGCUAAUUCAUUUGGAAAAGCACCAUUUUCCUCUGUCAGUUGAGAGUUAGCCGCCGUGUUCUUUCCCACAACAGCCAAAUCUGUCUGCAAAAGCACAAAAAAAUAAAAUAAAAAAUGCUAAGCUUCUCUCAGCUCCUGCACUUGAGCAUGGGGCAUUAAUAAGUGAACUCAUUACUGAAAAUUGAGUCGCUAUACCUGCUCCUUCAGUAUAGGCUUGUUUUUACCUUCAUCAUAUUCUACAUGAUCAAGGCUUGCCUGAGUAUUCUGCAGACCAUGAGAUGCAGGGUCGUUCAUUUUUCCAUAGCCAAGGGCAAACAGCUGGUCCUCUUCUCUCGAAGCCACAGAUAUUGGAAAGGGCUUUACCGGGCUGUUAGUUGUACAUUUUGAAGAAGACCAUAGCUCAUCAGCAUUACCAAGAUUUACAUUGCCAAAUAUUGGGUCAUCAUUGCUGCAAAAUCACCACUUGUGAGGAUAUUGAGUCAGAUGGUUAUCACUGUUCUCCAACAGAAUCAAGAUAAAAUAUAAGAACAUUAGUGAAGAACAGAAAUGCAGGAAAGCCCUUCCACAAUUGAACAAGCUCACCAAUUCCUUACAAAUCCAGUGCUGCUAUAUUACAUUCUUUCUGCCAUUUAUACUUGUAAUUGAGGAUAUUGUGCUGCUAAAAACUCGCAUCCUUCAGGUUCUUUUCACAAUUAACAAAAUUAAGCCAGGAUCAAAAACCAUAAAUUUUCAAACAACUAGUCUUUUUUGUUAGUGUUGCUUUCAGCAGACAGCACUUGUUUGGAAAAGGAUAUAGAUCCAAAACAGAAGAAACUACAAUUAUUAAAAGAGUCUGGUUGUUUUUCCUUCACAACAACACUCUUGUAGUACAUGAUUUUUUUCUUCUGAAAUGAAAAUAGGCAGUGAGCAUAAUUAUUUUGUCCGCGAAACUUUCACUUCACAGUCAGUAAUAAGAAUUUGUUCAAAUUAUCAGAAUAAUGAGAUGUACAAGCUUCCAUAUCAGGGUGCUGCUGACCAUCUUUCAUUUAGGUGCAGAAAGUAAGAAAUGGUAACUGUGCUUUACCUAAAAAUUCGAUCAAGAUCAUCAAAGCUUCCAAUGCUAGCCCAGCCAUAAUCAACAAAAUCACCUUGCUCUUCACCUUCAUGAGGAUUUUGAAAAAUCUCAGUGUCCUUAUCAAGAUGAUCUGUCUCUGCGUUUUAAAAAAAAGAAUUAGAAUGACAGUAGCAUGUAAGAUACUAUGCUAUGAAAACAUCAUGCAACUCGUCACCCUAUCUACAUUUUUUCCUUGUAAUUGAAAUCUCAUCACCUGCUGAUGAAUCGAGUUUGGUAAUCUCAGUUAGAUUGUUAGAGAUUGAAGUUUCCAAGGAAUCCUGCUCAGUUUUGGCAGCAUUACGUGAGGACAAGUUAGGCCAUCGGUCCAUGUCAAGUCCUAAGGAAGAAGUUCCUUCACUUGUGUCAACAUUCGAAAUGCUCUCCAGCUUUCUGCCAUCAGUAUCAACUUUAGCCCCGGGUGCCUUCUGCUCACUAGAUUUAAUGGUGCUAGCUUCUUCACUCGAUUCCUUUUUCUUGCAAUAAUCUUCACUUGCCUCUGGAUAUGGCACGAUAUGGUCAUCACUAUCUUCAGCCUCACCCCAUAUUAUGUUCGUAAGCUGAAAAGAUAGUGAGUAAGCAUCAUCACUAAAUGUGGGAUACAUGAGAAGAAUGAAACAGUCACAAGUUAAUCUCUGGGUAACUUGGCAAGACUAUUUUCCCCAACAUAAUAUUCUGAAUAAUACACUAAUUAAUCAGUUCAGUUCCUUGUAAGGUGUGCGUGGGCACAUAUGAGCACACAUGUGUGUACGAGAGUUGCUAGUGUCAAUGAGUUGGGAACAAAAUAUUUAAUUGAGUCAUGCAGAAAAUACUAAAAUGUUCUAAAUUGUGUUAAAAAUAAAAUAGAAAGUAGAAGCCAUUGGCAUGAUUCAUUUAAAAAUUUCUACAAAAUUAAAAAAAGAAAACAAAACAAAAGGAGGAGAUGGCCCAAAGCAUGCUCUCAAUAAGAUGAAGUAAGACCUAAAGCUUCAUUGCAUGUACAGAGCACUUUGGAAACUUCAGUCUGGACAAAUAAAACCAAGGCAAAGUAUCUUCUUUUUGGAACUAAUUUCUUCACAGUAAGAUAUAACAUCCAACGCUACCUGCAUCACUUUCUCAUGGUCCUCUCUGACUCGAGUGAUCAUAAACCUUCUCAAAUCCCAUUUAAAGAAGAUUCCCUUUCUCACUUUUCGUUGGUAUUAUUUGACACCAAGAUCACAACCAAACAUUACCAAUAAGUGUGUCACCGGAGAAAGAAACUUAGGUGCCCUAAUACCAUAAAUAAAACCUAUUCAAUAAAAAUUAGACAAUAUUUUAUAGCUGUACAUCUAUAAUCAAAGUAAAAUGCCCAAAACUCUGAAUCCUGAAUAUGUGAAUCAAAGUAAAAGGCCCUAACUGAUGCACCAUCAGCAGUCUCCUACUUUGACUUGUGAUUAAUGACCUAGCAGUUCACUUCAACAACAUUAGUGAACAUAAGUUUGAAUUUCAGACCCAGCAAGAAGAAGUACAUUUUCCAGUAGGCAUGCAUAUCACCUUUUUAUCAAUAUCCAUGGAAGACAAACCAAGCAAUAUCAAGUUUUUUUCUGCUGGAUAUCCAAUAAAAAAUACCUCAUAGUGUGAACAUCUUUAAGAAGGAGGAUAUCACAUUGCACCCCAUCAACUGAUCCACAAAUAAAUUUGCAUCUUUCCAUCAGUUCCAAGCUCUUUGUAAGGAAAAGGGAGGGAAGUGCCUUCAAAGAUACCUUCUUCAUAGCUUCUUUAGAUAUGAAUCCACACGGCUUUCGUAAUCACCAAUCACUAUGCGCAGCUUCUCUUAUCAUCACAAGCUCCAUCUCUUUCCACGUCCUAACUUCAUUCGAUGAACUCUUCCCUCAGUUCCCAAGAAAAAUUAUAUUCAUCCCUCCUGCAGCCUUUUCCCUGCAUAUUUCCACCAGCUUCAUAGCUAUAUGGCCUGUGAAAACUGUCGUUGUUGCAGUGAUUCUGAACAACAAAAAUAACAAAGGAUAAUGCUUGUGUUUAAGAAGAGAUUGAUGAAUGAAAAGCUUAAAUACUUUAUUCAUAACUGCAGCUCAAUUUAUAGAGCUGAUACAUAACAAACUCCUACGAUCAUGGUCCUACAUUCAAGCCAUGAUCAAUUGAUAAUGGAAAUAACAGAGCUGCGAAAUAGCAGCAAGAACAAGAGAAUAGGAACAGAAUUGACUAAAUCAAAAAUUAAAGAAAGAAUAAAAUUCCAGCUCAGCAGUCCUGAACAUUAUUUCUAACACUCCUCCUUGUUUAGGAGCUGCAAACUCCCAACUUUGUUCUCAGAAAUUCGAAUUUGUUGACUGGCAGUGGUUUGGUGAAAAUAUCAGCUGCUUGUUCUUCAGUUUUGCAGUAAAUAAGAAUGAUACUCCAAUCUUUCUGCACCUCUCUCAAAAAGAAUAAUUUGAUGUUGAAGUGCUUGGUUUUCCCGUGAAACACAGGAUUAUUAGAGAUGGAAAUGGCAGCUUGAUUGUCAACUAGAAUUUCUGUGCUUUCCUUUUGCUCCAGGUUAAGAUCAGAUAAAAUUUUCCUCAGCCACAAAGCUUGAUUGACAGCAGCUGUUGCAGCCACAAACUCAGCUUCAGCAGUGGAUUGGGCUACGGUUUCUUGCUUUUUUGAAUUCCAUGAAAACACACCAGAACCUAAAGAGAAACAGUAGCCUGAUGUGCUCUUCAAGUCAUCAAUUGAGCCUCCCCAAUCACUGUCAGAGUACCCGACCAGUUUGAACUCUCUACUUCUUGUGUAUCUUAUGCCAAAAUUGCAGGUUCCUUUGACAUAUCUUAUCACUCUUUUAGCAGCCUUGAAAUGCAAUUCACUAGCACAAUGCAUGAAUCUAGACAAGAUACUCACAGCAUUCAAAAUAUCAGGCCUAGUUGCAGUGAGAUACAUCAAGCAUCCAACAAUUUUUCUGAAUUGUGCUUGAUCAACCUUCUCGGCUCCAUCUUCUUUACAUAGCUUCUCCUUUUGAUUCAUAGGAGUGCUUACUGCUUUGCAAUCUUCAAGUUUGAACUUUUUGAGGAUUUCUUUGGCAUACUUCUUCUGACAUAUGAACACUUCAUGUUCAGCUUGCUUAACUUCCAUUCCAAGAAAAAAGGACAUCAAACCCAAAUCUGUCAUCUCAAAUACACUCAUCAUCUCUUGCUUGAACGUCUCCACAUUAUUGUUGUUAUUUCCUGUUACAAGCAAAUCAUCAACGUAAAGUGAGAUGAUAAGGAUGUUAUCACCAUUUUGCUUGAUGUAAAGAGUCGAUUCAGAGAGGCUUUUAGUGAAUCCCAAGUGCUGCAAAUGUUCAUCGAUUCGGCUGUACCAAGCUCUUGGAGCUUGCUUCAAUCCAUAUAGUGCCUUCUUAAGAAGACAGACUUUGUCCUCCUCUCCUUCAUUUGCAAAGCCUUCUGGUUGCUCAGUAUAGAUCUCCUCCUGCAAAACACCAUUUAAAAACGCUGACUUGACGUCCAUUUGAUACACCUUCCAAUUCAGUUGUGCUGCAAUGGCAAGUAGCAGCCUGAUAGUGUCAAGUCUUGCUACCGGUGCAAACGUGUCUGAGUAGUCCACGCCAAAGAUUUGUGCAUAACCCUUCACCACUAGCCUGGCUUUGAGCUUAUUGAUUGAGCCAUCAGCGUUGAGUUUUGUUCGAUACACCCAUUUUACACCGAUUACAUUUCUGUUUUGAGGUCUGUCAACCAACUCCCACGUGUUGUUUCUCGUGAUCAUGAGAAGCUCCUCCUUCAUCGCAGCAAGCCAAUUUUGAUCUAGCUUGGCUUCUUCAAAGUCUGCUGGUUCACACACAGCAAUGUUGCACCUUUGAUACACAUCAAGGAGUGACCGUGUGCCUCUAACAGGAGUGUCAUCUGUCAUGUUGAUGUCCCAAUCUUCCAUGCUUUGAUCAUCUGUGUCUGAAACAAGAUAAUUGCCUUUUGGAGAGGCUGAAUCUUCUUUGAUUGCAUCGUUCCAAUCCCAUUCUUCAUCUUCCAGGAAUUGGACAUCUCUGCUUAUAACGAUUUUUCCAGUUUGUGGCUGGAAAAUCUUAUAAGCCUUUGAAACUAAGCUGUAGCCAACAAAAAUGCCUGGAAGUGCUUUCUUGUCAAGUUUAUCCCUCUUGACCUGUGGAACAAGGGUGAAGCACAAACAUCCAAAUACCUUAAGAAAAUUCAGAGAUGGUUUGUAACCAUACCAUGCCUCAAAGGGUGUUUGAUCCUUCAAGGCUCUUGUAGGCAGUCGAUUUUGCAAGAACACAGCAGUGUUUGCAGCCUCUGCCCAGAAUUUCUUUGGUAAAUUCUUCUCAUGUAGCAAGCAUCUUGUCAUUUCCAAUAUGAACUUGUUUCGCCUCUCACUAACUCCGUUUUGCUGAGGAGUAUACGGAGUUGUUAGCUGAUGAUGAAUGCCUGCCUCCUCACAAAAAACGUUGAAGGCAUUGGAAGUGUAUUCCUUGCCAUUGUCUGAUCUGAGGGCUUGAAUUUUGCAGCCACUUUCAUUUUCAACUUUGGCCUUGAAAUUCCAGAACACCUGUGCUACCUCUGACUUGUGCUUCAAGAAGAAAAUCCAGCACAUUCGGCUGUAAUCGUCAAUGAAGACAGCAUAAUACAGACUCCCAUUUAGAGAGAGUGUCCUUUGUGGUCCUGCAAUGUCAGUAUGAAUCAAUUGCAGCUUCCUUGUUGCUCUCCAUGUGGCUUCUGGAAAGGGCUUCCUGUUUAGCUUGCCAGUGUGACAAGUUCUGCAGCUGGAUAUGUGAUCAUCAAGUGCUGGGAAAUCCUUAGCCAUCAUCUUGGAUUUCAUAAGCAUCAGCCCUCUAUGAUGAUAGUGCCCGAGCCUCUUGUGCCAAAUAUCUGUGAUAUUUUCUUUAAUUGGGAAAGCAGUAUGCUCCUCCUCCAAUGGAUUUAGAGCAAAACUCUUCCCUUUCAUGAUUAUUUUGAAAAUAUCAUGACCAUUCACAUCUUUGAUCAAGCAGCAAUUGUUUUCAAACACUACUUUAUAACCCUUCUCAAUAAGCUGACCAACACUGAAUAAAUUUUGAUUUAUACCAGGGACAUACAAUACAUCAGAGAUGAACUUAGUACCUGAGCAAGUCAAGAUUGCCACGGUUCCCUUUCCUUCAACAACAAGGUAUUCUCCAUUUCCAAUUCGAACCUUUGAAGUUGUUUGUUUCAGCUCCUUGAAUAUGUUUCUGUCAUGUGUCAUGUGGUUGGUGCAACCACUAUCAAUGAGCCAGCUUUCACUUGAGUCAUUUCUGGAAAUGCAAGUGGCCACAAACAAUUGAUCUUCUUCUUCUUGAUCAGCAAUUUGAGCUUCUUCACCAUGCUGUUGAAUUUUGUUUUUGCAGAUGACAGCCUCGUGCCCCAUUUGAUUGCAUUUGUUGCACUUAGCUUCUGGUCUUCUCCAACACUUAAAAUGUGGAUGUGAUCUCCUUUUACAAUGCUGGCAUGGAGGAAAAGGUCCUUUUUUGUUUCCAGUGUUGCUCCUUGUUGAAAUUCCUGGAAUCACCUGAUGAUGCUUGACUGCUUCCAUUCUUCUUGUAAUUCUUUCCUUUUUCUCUAUGCUUGACGAAUAGAGCUCCUUCAAUCUCAUCUUCCUGUCUCAUGAUCCUCCUUUGCUCCUGAGCUUGUAAUGCAUUUAGCAUUUCUGUCAAAGUAAUUUUUGACAUAUCCUUGGUAUUUUCCAAGGAUGUAAUUGUAGCUUCAAAGAUUUCAGGAAUUGUUACAAGAAUUUUUUGAACAAUUCUUGACUCAGGCAGGGACGAGCCAAGUAAACUGAUUCGGCUUGCAAUAUUAAGCAGCCUGUCAGAGUACUCUUUGAUGGAUUCAGUCUUCUUCAUCUUCUGCAACUCGAAAUCACGCAUCAAGUUCAACACUUGCAUACCUUGAAUUCUUUCAUCCCCUUCAUACUCAGUCUUGAGAAACUCCCAUAUCUCCUUUGCUGUUUUCAGAGACAUGAUUCGAGUGAAAAUGGUGGAUGCUACUACAGCAAACAAGCACGCCUUUGCCUUUGAUUUUUUUGUCUUCUUCUCCUUCUGUGAUUUGAUCUGCACCAUGGUGGGAUUGUUUGGAAGUGCAGGGAUUUCAUAAUCUUCUUCCACUGCCUCCCACAAAUCCAAAGCCUCUAAGUAUGUCUCUAUCCGUACUGCCCAAAACUGGUAAUUGUCACCAUUGAACACUGGUGGAGCAAUUGAUGAGAAGCUUACUUCUGUCUCCAUGGGUUACAACACAGAUCCCUUUAAAUCAAGAUGCUCUGAUACCAAUUGUCGUUGUUGCAGUGAUUCUGAACAACAAAAAUAACAAAGGAUAAUGCUUGUGUUUAAGAAGAGAUUGAUGAAUGAAAAGCUUAAAUACUUUAUUCAUAACUGCAGCUCAAUUUAUAGAGCUGAUACAUAACAAACUCCUACGAUCAUGGUCCUACAUUCAAGCCAUGAUCAAUUGAUAAUGGAAAUAACAGAGCUGCGAAAUAGCAGCAAGAACAAGAGAAUAGGAACAGAAUUGACUAAAUCAAAAAUUAAAGAAAGAAUAAAAUUCCAGCUCAGCAGUCCUGAACAGUAUUUCUAAUUUCUGCUGGAUAUCCAAUAAAAAAUACCUCAUAGUGUGAACAUCUUUAAGAAGGAGGAUAUCACAUUGCACCCCAUCAACUGAUCCACAAAUAAAUUUGCAUCUUUCCAUCAGUUCCAAGCUACUUUGUAAGGAAAAGGGAGGGAAGUGCCUUCAAAGAUACCUUCUUCAUAGCUUCUUUAGAUAUGAAUCCACACGGCUUUCGUAAUCACCAAUCACUAUGCACAGCUUCUCUUAUCAUCACAAGCUCCAUCUCUUUCCACGUCCUAACUUCAUUCGAUGAACUCUUCCCUCAGUUCCCAAGAAAAAUUAUAUUCUUCCCUCCUGCAGCCCUUUCCCUGUAUAUUUCCACCAGCUUCAUAGCUAUAUGGCCUGUGAAAACGACUCCCAAAUUAAAACACUUGAGAAGCUCUAAUAGUUUUCUUAUUAUUUCUUCACUCUUUGUCAGUGUGCCACAUUCAAAUACUACUGAUCGAUUCUUCCUCGUCACAACCACUCACUUUCCCCUAAAUCCCAUACCAACUAAAUCAAUAUCUCUUAUCACUUAUCAAAACUCCAUCUAAUUUCCAAAUGAAUCACACCAUUUGAACACUUUGCCAAUUCCUAAUUCCUUCAAAAUUUUCAUCCAUCAAAAAAAAAACUGCAAGUCAUACUUUUUCACUCUAACACAGUUCUCCUUAUAAUCAAUCUUCCAAUUUAACCAUACUCUUGCCUCUAAAUCUGGCACGCAAAGCUUCUACAUAACCUUCCAACGUUACUUCUUGCCUCCCAACAAGGGUGGAGGCAUGCAUGGGCUAGGGUGGGCUCUAGCUCAGGUGAAGAUUUUAUUAAUAUUUUUGUUCUAGUUUUAUGUAAAGAAAAUUUGUAAUUCUCAAUUUACGUGGAGCCUUCUAAUAUGAUGCUUUAACUUGAGUUAAAAUUUUAUAAUUUUUGAAGAAAUUCAGAAAUUUGAUAAAAAACAAAAUCAUAAUUUGACCAAUUUUAUGUUAUUGGGUGUAAUUUUCAAUCUGACCAUCAGAUUGAGCUAAAAUUUUACAAGGAAUCUUAAAAUAUAUUAAAUAAAAUCUGGUUUAAAUUUUAAAAUGAACAGAGUUUGGUAGUGCUAACAAAAAAAACAUCAAAUAAAAGCAAAAUGACUCAUUAAGGGUAAAAUUGUUAUUUGCCAUAAAAAAAAAUCAGUUCUUCCUUCCUUUAUAUGUUGCUGACUGGGCAGAAACAAAAUAGAAAAUGAAAGAAAAGAAAAGGCGAGAGAAAAAGAGAGAAAAGUAAGGGAAAAACAUAAAAAAAAUCCUAGAAAAAAAGAUAAGAAAAGUGAGAAAAUAACCUUAUAAACUUAUAAAGUCCAACUUAUAAAAUAUUAAUCUAAGGAAGAAGCAAGUGAAGGAAGGAGGAAUUGAGAGAGGGAAAAAAUUUAAUUAUUUUAUUUUUCAGUUGACAUGAGAUUGUUAUUUUAUCCCGGUUAAGGGAUUGUUAUAAUAUCAAUUCAAAUUCGAUUAUAGAUGAAUUAUAUUUCACAAAACAUCGAAAGAUGUAACUUUAAUAGUGAGUUUAUUUUUACUUUCACUUUAAUUUUAUAUAUUUUUAAAUUUAUUUUUUAAUAUUUUAGGUAAUGUAUUUGAAUUAAAACUUUACUAUUAACUUUAAAAACUCAUGUACAUUAAUUAAUAAUUUAUCUUAAAAAAAAUAUUAUAUAUUUAUUUAAUAGUGCAGGACAGAAAAAAAAUCUAGCAAAAUUUAUUCUUUCCAACUUUAUUUGUUUUGACUGAAAAAUAAUCUUUUAUUUUUGUACUUCACAGGCAUGUGGUGGCAAAAGUCGAGCACGAUAUAUAUAUAUAUAUAUAUAUAUUUCUUAAGAUACAUAUGGCUGGUGAUUGGCGGAUGAUGGUGUCAUUAAGACUCUUGGUGUGUACCCUCAUCCUUUCUGUUUAUAGUUUAGUCCAUUUGCAGCUUUAAUGGCUACUAUCAGUUGCUUUGGAACCUGAUAUCACUAGUCUCAUUAUGGUACAGACAAGCUCAGGAUGAUCAAUCCUUGAGAAUCCACAUCCAACCAGAAAUAAACCGAAUUUCGAGCAUAAAUGACUCGAACUCGCUGGAAUGCUUUGGCACCUCCUUCAAUCCUAGUUUGGGAAACAGAAACACUAUCACCGUUAGUUUUCACCGAGGAAGACAGCACCCCCAUUCUCUCCUGCUGUGCUGAUGAUGGGGCAUGAGAGAUAGUCCAAAGGAUUUGCCUCACGUUGAAGUAUGCAACUGUCUAUGGUUAGCCUUCUCUUUUGUGAUGCAAGCAGCAACCAAGCUCUGCCUUCACUGCAUAAAGAAAUGAUUGAUUCACGAAGCCUGACUUCUUUGAAUUUGAAAGAUUAGAAUCAUUGGAAGAGAAAGAAGAAAAGGUGUAAAUGACAGCGGAAUGCUAUUAUACCAUCUGCCAAGGUAAUGCCAAGUCUACUUGCGAGGUAUUUAUAUCAUAAUUUUUAAAUAUUAGAUUGUCAGCGCAUACCAAGCAAAGAGCUUCGAUUCACAACGAAAUGAAUCCGUGCUAUGGGUUAUCAUCUGAUAUCAUCAUUCAUCAACAAUUAAUCGAAUGGGUUUAUACAUGAAAUGUUUUUAGUUUCUUAAUCAAUAAUUGAAGUUUUUAAUUGGAAGUCAAAUUAUUCUUAGAGAAUAAUAUAAUUAAACUAAACCUUGGUUAAUUGAUUGCUAGCAAAGGUGUACAUUUACAUGGCUUGAAAAUGAAGCUUAUCUUCCAUUUAAUUUUAUCAAAUAAAUUAUUUAUAGAGUAGUUUUGAGUGAUAUAAAUCAAAUAGGAAUUAAAUCAUGUUAAAACAUUUAAUUUUGUUGUCCCUUUAUAUUACAAACAGCAACAUUACGUAUCAUGUUUAUAAAUUCCAAACCACUCAUUUGAAACUAACGCUUUGUAUUUUUUUUAUAAAAUAAAAUAAAUCCUAACACUGAUGUGGACUAAAAUGUUUUUCAUAUAAAAUAUGAGGAUCAAAAAACUUUCAUGAACAUUUAAAAUAUGAUGUGGACUAACAUUUUUUUUUUGUUAAAAUUAGUUCGGUUUGUACUUUCUAGAUCGUUUUGAUGUGCUGAUAUCAAAAAUAAUUUUUAAAAAAUAAAAAAAACAUUAUUGGCAUACUUUUCGGCACGAAAAGCUAUUUGAAAAACAACAACUACCACACUUCCAAACACCCUCACUUAGUAUAAAAAAGAAAUCAUCACGUCGUUAUUUUCCACUCAGUAUAAAAAAGAAAUCACACGCCUUAGAGGAUAAAUAAGCAAUGCGAAAGUUAAAUAAAUUUAUGAAUUACCAGCAUAAUUCACACUAAUUCCCCUCUCUAACUUGCACCUCAUCAAUUUUUAUUCCUUUACUCUCGAACGAAAAUAAUAAUAUUUAAGUUAUUAAACCCAACUCGAAUUAUAAUUCAAGUAGGGGGUUAACAUAAAUCAAUACAAAGUGAUAUGACUUUAGGAGUUUUUUCAAAAAAACAAAUUAAAAUGAUGUGAACUUUUUUAAAUUAAAUUGAGUUUUAAUUGAUCAAAUAAGUUGGAUUACACCAGGUCAAAUUCUAUCCGAUUUAAUUUAAAAUUCAAUCUAAACUCUUAACUUACCUUCAGUCGGGUUUAAUAACAUAUUGACGUAACUUUAGACAAGUUAAGACAUGUUAUUUGUAUAAUCAGACCAAAUUCUCAAUCUUUAUUUAUCAUAAUAACGAUCCAACCCAUUAAUUUUAAAUGGGCCUAUAAAAACUCUAACUUGCCAUAAAAUCAGCAAUUUUACAUCCUAUUUUAUAAAAGACACUCCAACAUAAUUAAUUAAAAUAGUAUUUGAUAUUGUGGUAAUAAUUAUUUUUUAAAGUAUUUUUUAUUUAAAAAUAUAUUUAAAUAAUUUUUAAUUUUUUAAUUUUAAAAAUUAAUAUUUGACAUUACAUAUUAAAACAAUCUAAAAACAUAAUUUUUAAAAAAAGUUAUUAUUAUUUAAGAAAAACUGUAUCACCAUACAAACAAAUCCAAAAACACAAUUUUUUUAAAACAAUUAUUAUUCUUUUAAAAAAAAUUGUAUCACCAUAAAAACAAAUAAUUUCUAAGAGUGACAGUGAGCAACAGAAAUAAACCAUGGCAGAAACUAAAAAUACCUUUAACGGAAACUGUGCUUCGAUUCACAACGUUUUCAUCCUUGACCAAUGCUUGACAGAGUAGACGACGGGUCAGAACAGAGCUACCAGUCCUGCAUUUCUCGAAGGAUAGUUUUGGAAAUGCUCUAAGACCGUGGCCAUUAUGCUGUGUAUGUUUGAUAAUGCAGUGAAUAUAAUUUUAUAAAAAUAUUUUUCAAUUAAUAAAAUAUUUCUUAAAGAAAUUUUCAAUAAUUUUGUUAAGAAAUUUGCGUGGCCAGACAUUUUAAAGAAUGAUGCUAAAUUUGGGGUUACAUAGGCAGCUGCUGGCUCCUCUUGUAUCUUUUGGGUUAAAGGCAUCGUUUGUUUCCUGCCGUUGUCUAUUCUCCGGUCGUAGAAGCUGACUGCAAUCCUCCGACUCUGUUCUCAUAGUCAGAUGCUUCCUCUGUUUUCUCCUGGCAUUAAAAUUACAGCUCACCCUCAAAUCUUAUUGCCUCUGGUCAUUUUCUUGAAUGGUGCUUGGUGUUGUCUUCUAGCGUUUGCAGUAUCGUAAUUUGCUGGAGUUUUUGUAGUAUUUGAAUUGUGGGUGAUUGAGCUGCAGAAUUUGUGCAAUUGAAUUGAAUUUGUGCUAUGGGUUAUCACGCGAUAUCAUCAUUCAUCAACAAUUAAUUGAAUGGGUUUCUACAUUAAAUAUUUUUAGUUUCUUAAUCAAUAAUUGAAGUUUUUAAUUGGAAGUGAAAUUAUUCUUAGAGAAUAAUAUAAUUAAACUAAAUCUUGGUUAAUUGAUUGCUAGCAAAGGUGUAAAUUUACAUGGCUUGAAAAUGAAGCUUCUCUUCCACUUAAUUUUAUCAAAUAAUAUAAUUUUGAAAUAAAUUAUUUAUAGUAGUUUUGAGUGAUAUAAAUCAAAUAGGAAUUAAAACAUGUUAAAACAUUUAAUUUUGUUAUACCUAGGUCCCUUUAUAUUACUAACAACAAUAUUAUGUAUCGUGUUUAUAAAUUCCAAACCACUCAUUUGAAACUAAAGCUGUGUAUGCUUUUUAUAAAAUAAAAUAAAUCCUAACCUUCAUAUGAGGAUUAAAAAACAUUCAUGAAAAUAUAUGAAAAGCUAUUUUUGUCUCUAUGGGCUAGGUACGAUGUAUUCAGGUAUGGAUAUGGGUCUGGGCUUAGGAUGAUAGAUAUGGGUCCAGUAGGAGCACGAUAUUUUUUAAUGGUAAGGAAUGAGCUAUGCCUACCAGGCUGGUUACUCGGUCCAUUCACCUCUCUACCUGAGGCUUGUAUAGUUUAUUGAAAAAAACAAACUUAUAUCGUUUCUUUUAGAAUUCAUUUCUUUAUAAAGCAUGACAAUGUAACCAAAUUUGCAUUAUCUAUAUAAAAUAAAAGAAAAUAUAUAUUUUCACAAAUUCUACCAUAUUGCUCGACCAAAAUAUUUAUUUUUUGUUUCUAUACAUAUUAUAAUUAGUUACAAAUAUAACACCCAAUUUAAUAAAAUCAUAUGAGCAAAAUUCCAGGACUUUCCAUGGACAAAACCCAAUUUAAUAUAUAUAUAUAUAUAUAUAUAUAUAUAUAUAUUUCUCUACAUAUUCAAUAUAUUCAUCUAAAUGUAUUUAUCUGAAUGCUAUAUUAUCUUAUAAUUUAACUGGGACCAAAGAUAAAUGAUAACAUUUAUUUAAAUGCUAUUUAUGAUUGACACACAAAACCCUGUUUUCAUAGUUAAUUGAAGGAUAAUAAAUGGAAGAAUGACAAAUUGCCAGGUGGAAAGUUAUACCUCAUCACAACAAAUACUUUCCAGCCAAUUAAUUAAUGGCGGUUACAACUAAUUACAACAAAUACUCUUCACUUCUUCUCUAUAGUUAUGUUAAUGGUAAGAAAAGGUUGGAUAUUAGAAUUUUGAAAAAUAAAAUAAAAGAUAAGUGAUGUUCAGAUUAGAACUUGAUAUUUGAUAUAAAAUAUAUAUUUUUUAAUUAAACUUUAAUAACAAGUCAUAAAUCAACUCAAAAAUAGUAAAUAUUGUAAAAAAAAAAUGGUAAUAUUAUACACAAAAAAAGAGACUCAUGAAAUGACAUAAAAAAUAGAAUUUUUGUAUAUUUUUAUCUAUUCAUGAACUUGAACAUGAUUUAUAUUUAUAUAAUCAUACAUUUUAAUUGGAAAAUAAUCAAUAAAGGAAGAAAGAAUCGACUUUAAACAAAUAAAAAGAAAAUAGAAGAUGAAAUAUAAAUCACGUAAGAAUUAAGUCUUCUCGAAGACUAGCUUAAGAGUAAGAAAGAGGCAAAAUCUAUAGGAAUUUAAUUAAUAAAUGUUUCAUGCGUGUUGUUUCGAAUUGUAUAAAUAUAAAGAAAAUACAUUUAUACAUAUUAUAUUAUAAUGAAUAUAUUUUUCUGUGCAAAAUUGUUAUUAUUUUUUCAAAUCAAACCCCCGGUUUGAGUAUUGAGCAUAAAAAGAAUUUGGAUUGUUGAAUCAUUUAAACAAUUAGUGGAUCGCCAAUGAAUCAUUUUAUUAAAAUGAUAUUUUGCUUUUUUAUAAAAAAAUUUAUUAAUAUUGAUUUAACUAAGUUUGUAUCAGAUUUUACCAAAUCAAAUAAAUCAUUACAAAUUCAAUUGAGUAAUUAAGAUUUUAUCUUAUCAAUGUUUUUUUCUAAUUCAAUUUUAAACCUGGUUAAUGCCAGGAUCUGGAGGAUGUGCUUCCUAUAUCAAAUCACCAUGCAGGGAAGAGUUUAAACAUUUUUCAUUUUUCCUAUAUCAAAAAAUUACAUUUCUUAGCAAAACACACGAGUUAUAUAUAUAUAUUUAAACAAAUUACAAAUAAUCUAAUCAAUUGAUUAAAGUUGUGACACCUUAUAGUACGUAGACGACUAUAUAAUACUAUAAGAUAUUUAACAAUAUUUAUUUUUAUGAAGAGUAAUAUGUUGCUUGUCUAUGUAAUUUCUCUUUUAAAUUGGGUUUAAUUUCAAAAUCAACGUGUAACUUUGUACGUAGGGGCAUGUCAUGGGCAGUGUUGGACCAAAUUCUCAAUCUUUAUUCAUAGAGGUGGAUCAUGAUCGAGAUUCGAGCCUAUUAAUUUUAAAUGGAUCUACAAAACCUCUAUUCGGCCAUAAAAAAUAAAAUCUCAGGUGCCCAUCAAUGAUAGGAUCUAUUUUGUAAAAGACAUUUCAACAGUAUUAAAAUAAUGUUUAGUAACGUGAUAUCUGAUAUUUUUAAAAAUAUUUUUUUAUUUAAAUUAUAUAUUUUUAAAAUUUAUAUUUAAUAUUAUUAUAUUAAAAUAAUAUAAAAAUAUAAAAAUAUAUUUUUAAAAAAAAUCUUGGUGUCAAAGUGAGUGAAUAAAAAAAAUAAAUCAUGGCAGAAACCACGAACACCUUUAACAGCAAUGUCGUUUCAGUUUGACAGAGUUGUGUUAAAAAAAAAAUUCCUUCAAUUUGUAUUGACUUUUUAAUGUUUUAAGUUUACAGUGCUCCUAUAUAUAAACAGAGAAGAUGUUCUUAAAAACUAUGGAUUCCUGCUAUAAACAGGACUUAUACAAAUGUGGAAUAAAUCAAUUACUAAACUAUGGAAUAGGACUUAUACAACUGUGGGAUAAAUCAAUUACCAAACUUUUUCUUACAAACUCUCAACUAAAUCACUUUGUAAUUAUACUAACACUUUGAGUCAAGUUAGUGCAAAGAUAUCUUACCCAACUUGUCAAGGGAGCUCUGAAAGUUUUUGCUGAAGACAACUUUUGUAAAGAUAUUCGUGAGCUGAUUCUUUGAUUUGACAAAUGAAAAGUUAAUCACUUAUUAUUUAAGAUUUUGUUUAAUAAAAUGUUUGUCUAUUUCAAUAUGUUUCGUGUGAUCAUGUUAAAUUGGGUUAUAAAAUAUUUUAAUGGCAGCUUAAUUAUCACAGUAUAGGUUCGUUCUUGAUUUGGGAGCAAAACCAAUUUCUGAUAAUAAUCUUCUGAGCUAAAGCAGUUUACGUAGUCCUUUUACCGUCCCUUGAAACUCAACCUCUGUGCUUGACAAGGUAGCUACUUUUUAUUUCUUGCUUCUCCAUGUGACUAAAUUGCCACCAAUAAACGUGAAGUAUGCUCAUUAAUCUCAUGCAUAUUUUGAUUAUUUUGUUGAAUAUUUUAAUCAGGUUUAUGAUAUGGAUUCUUAUAAUAAAAUUUUCAUUUAAUUUUUUUAUUUUCAUGGGGGGUUUUAAUGUAGGGAACAUAGGAAGUGUAAAGGUGGCAACUUUUUUGCUUUAUUUUAUACCGUAUUUAAAGCCAGUGCCUUUGAGGUUUUAUGGCAGCCCAUCAACAAUAUUCUUAGUAGGAUCUUAUCAUUUAUGGUACUAGCCUGUUGGGCCUCCCUUUUCAUUAUUUUAAGCGUAGUUGCCACCCAUCUUUCUGUGGCUCCAUGUUCAUUCUCCAAACCAUUCAUAUAGGUAUCUUAAAUAGUGUAGCUGGAGCUUUACUGGGUAUGCUUUUUAAUAUAUUUUUAAGUAAAAUAUAUUUUUAAAAAUAUUUAAAAAACAAACAUUACUGUACUUUCAAAAACAUAAUCCUCUUGUAUCUGACGCUUUAAAUUCCAACAAUGAGUUACUGAUUAGAUAAUAUCUACAUUCAAUUAAAAAUAUAAUUUCUUGACAGCGAAAUAAAGAAAAAAGUAGCAACCCUGUAAUAUCUAGGUAAUUUCUAUGCUCUUUAAAUUAGGCCUCUAAACUGAGACUGUAAUGAGCCCAUGACAGAGGAAGACAUGAAAGUGUAAUUUCAGAAGACCAUUAUUCAUAUAACAAAUUUAGUAAAUUUAGUAAACUCGUAAAGUUAAACCGAUUUUACUAAUUCUGUACUAGUUAGAUUUGAUUUUAUUAAUUUUAAAUUUUUAGUUAGAUUUAGUAUGUUAAAUAUAUAUUAACUUAAAUUUUACUAAUAACUCAUAAUUUUAACAACCUUGCUUGUAAUAGCUCUUGUGGUGGUUGAUGUUUAAAAAAGAUAAUUGAGAAAUUAUUUUCACUCGUGACUUUUUUGAUUUAAAUAAGUAUUGAAUUAAAAAUAUUUAAUUAAAAUUAUUGUUUUAAUUUAAUUACCACAAAAGAUACUGGUGAAGGUGGAGAGGAUGCAAAAGAUGAUUGGGUAUCCUAUUAAUCGUCAAAACAUCAACUAUUGUGGUCAAUUCUGCUGACUGCUGAGACUAAAAGCCAACCACUUGAAUAAUGGGCAUUAGCUGUUUAGCACUCCUUGGUAAACACUUCAGGCUCCUUUCCCGCCCCUUUCCUCGCUGGUUCCUUAAUAGCUUCAAGGGGUGCGAGCGCCUCGUUCGAGGAUUGAGCAUAAAGGACUAAAAGAGUUCAAUAAAUACUAAAAGACAUAAAGUGAAGUUUUUAUAAUAUUCAUAGCAAUGGUCAUCAGCUAAUUUAUAAUUUAUUUAUCUACUUUAUCAAUGAAAUAAAAGUGAUAAAAGAAAAGGAGAGAAGAAAUAAAGUGAAGUCUUCUUCUGCAUUAUUAGCACAUCACGUGAAAAUAAAGAAUGGCAUAUAAUAAAAGUUAUUCCAAUCAAACCUCCUUUUUCAACCGAUGGGGUCUCUUGUCAAAUAAAGCAAGGACAGACCGAGUAAGAUGUGGGACCUAACUGCACUUUCCUGGCACGCGUAGUUCACGCAUACACAAGCACAUUCAGAAUAGUAUUCAAUUUAAAAACACAAAAAAAAAAUAAAGGAAUAAAAGAAGGAAAAGUGAUCAAAGAAGAAGAGAGAAGAAAUAAAGUGAAGUCUUCUUCUGCAUUAUUAGCACAUCACGUGAAAAGAAAGAUACAAACAAGAUUACUCCAUUUUCCAGUCACUUUUUCAACCGAUGGGGCUUCUUGGCAAAUAAAGCAAGGACAGACCGAGUUGAUGCGCUACGUAACUCCUUUUUCCUGGCCCGCGCAAUUCACGCAUACACAAACACAUCCAGAAUAAUAUUCAUAAAAUUAAUUAACAUCCCGUAAAAAUAUACUUUAAUUUAGAAAAGAUUUUAAAAUGUUAUUUUUCAAAUUAAUAAUAACAAAAUUUUAUAUUAAAUUGGUUCGCUUAAGUUAACCUAUUAGAUUUAUAAUUCAGGUUAUGAAAUUAUAAUACCUAGUUCACAAAUAACCAAAUAUGGUGAAGUUUUUCCAAUCAAACCCUUUUUUUUUUUUAAGAUGUAAUUUCUAGAAAAAUAAAUCAAAGACAAACAGAGUAAAAUUUCAAAAAAUAGAGAAAGAUGGAAAAUCCCACCAAUAUUUAACCCACUUAAAUUGAGUCCAAAUCAUAAAAGCAUCUACAAAGAGUGUGUUAAAUGAAAAGUUAAAAAUUAAAAAAUAUAUAAUUUUGACUCUUUCAUGUUUAUUUUACACACUUCAAAAAAAUAUUAAAUAAAAUAUUAAAAUAUUUUUUUUUCUUAUAAAUACUAUUUCUAAAUAUCUAUCAAAAAAACCAAUACUAAAAAAAUAGAGUCAUCAAAAAAUAAACCAAUUAAAUAUAAUUAUAUGAAAAAAUAUAUUUUAAAUAGUGCAGCCUGAGCUUAAUGGUUAAAAUAAUUUUAUAUUUUUUAUAAUUGUUAACAUCAACACAUUAAAAUCAUUAAAAAUAUUAAAAAAUCAAUAAUUUAAUAUAUUUUUAAAUAAAAUAUAUUUUUUAAAAAAACAUAUAAAUUACUACUAUUAUUUCAAACACACAAUCCUAUUCCAUCUUAAAAUCUGAGCUAUUAGGAUAGUAAAGUUAAUUCGUUAAAUUUACAAUUGUGGUGGUGGGAUAUUAAAAAAAAUCUUAUAUUAAAAUUAAAAAUUUUAAAAAUUCUUGAAUAAAAAAACAACAAAACAAUUAUUCAGGUAAUUGUAUAAAAUAUAAUAAUAUAAUGUAUAAUUUAUAAUUGAUUUAUUUACCUUAUCAGUCUUCUGCUGCAUGAUCACAUCACGUGAAAAGCUUGGCAUUUAGUGAUGUUUUUCCAAUCAAACCUCCUUUUUUCAAAGAUGGAAUCUCGAGGUAAAUAAAUCAAAGACAAAACCGAGUAAAAUGGAGUCCAGAGCAUAAAAGAAUCUCCAAUGAAGCUGCUAAAUGAAUAACUAAAAAUAAUAAUAAAAAAAAAAUUGUUUUUGUUUGUUUUUUAUAUUUCAAGAAGAAAAUCAAAUAAAUCGUUAAAAUAUUUUUUUUUCACAUAAAUAUUAUUUUUAUAUAUCUCUCAAAAAAAUCAAAAUUAAUAAAAUAAAACCAACAAAAAAAAGCCAAUUAAAUCUAGGUAUCUAGAAAAAAAUAACUUUAAAAUCAUUAAAAAAAAAAAAUGUUUAUUUAUUUCACUUUAUCUCGAAAAACAGUAACUUUAAAAUCAUUAAAAAAAAUAAAAUGUUUAUUUAUUUCACUUUAAUAGAAUUGGCUUUUCAAUGUAUUUUUUCUAUUGGAAUAUAUAUUGUAAAAAAAAUAUAUUUAUAUUAUUUAAAAUACUAUUUUAUUAGUUUAUUUUUUUAAAAUAAUAUUUUUUAUUAAAGAUACUCCAACAAGGGCCGAGAGAGCAAAGGCUUUUACGAGUUCUGUGUUCCGUAUACUUCUCAAGGGGAAAAAAAUAAUGUUUUGUUAGAGAUUUGUUUUUGAUAGAAUUGUUAGCGAUCUUAGCCGAUGCAUCUGGAUUAUAAUUUUUAGCAUUUAUACUAUUUUAUAGCGCUAAUAUCUUAAAAAAACUUAUUUUCUAGCUUUUUUUUCAUGGUAUAAUAAAAUAUUAAAAAAUAUUUUUCAACUCAUUAUCCUUAAUACAAUUAAAUUUCAUAGAAUAGUCUAUUUUUUAGAAAUAUAGUUUACUAUGAGAUUUAUUGGAUAAAAGAAAUUCACUUUGUAACAAUGCACUAGAAACUAAAAAAAAAUAAGCUAAUGAUCAUUUAAAAAUAUAGUAUAUUGGAAUCAUCUUGCUGAAUAGGUGAGUUUGGGAGUUUGGUUGCUUAACAGGCGAGUGAGGGUUAAAUGUAUCCAAUUAAAUAAUAUCUACAUUCAAUUAAAACUUAUGGUACAAUUACUUGACAGCAAAAUAAAGAAAAGCAGGAACCCUGUAAUAUCUAGGAAAUUUCUAUGCUCUUUGAAUUAGGUGCCCAAACUAAGGCUAUAAUGAGCCCUGAAUUUACACAGAAGAAAUUUCAUGGGAAAUGGGUUGAUGUCAGAGGCAGACACGGAAACGUAAUUUCAGAAGACUAUGACUCAAAUCAGUGGCUGAAAUCCAAUCACUCAAGGGAUGGUGACACGUUGUCUUGAGUGGGAGACAACUGGUCUUCAGUACAAAGAGAAACAACGUUUUUUUUUUAUUAUUAUUAUUAUUAUUAAAAGCGAGUGUACGAGUUACUUCCAUGUUUUUUAAUUAAUUUUAAAAUUAAUAAUUAUAUAAAUUUUUAAUAAUUAUAAAAAAGUUUAAAUUCAUGAAAAGAUUUGAAUUCAUAAUUAUUAAAAUACAAAUAUAUUUUCCUGAGUGUCUUUGCUCUCGUGACAGCUCACGAUGGUGGGGGGUUUAAAAAAAAAUUUAAAAAAUAUUUUUACUUGUGAUUUAUUUAAUUUAAAUAAGUAUUUAAUUAUAAUUAUAAUUAACGAUAUAUUGUAACUAAAAUUACUAUAAAAAAGAACAUAGUGAAGGUGGAGAGGAUGAGAAUAAUGAUUGGAUAUCUUAAUAAUUGUAAAAAGAAAGUAUUUUUUUAUGGUGAAGUUAUUUGUAUAUGAGAAAAGACUGAGUUUUGUAGCUCAGAAAAAAUAAACAUGUUGAUAUUGCUUUUUAAUAACCCAUGAAUGGACCGUAAAUUGCAACGGGUUCACAAACACAAACAUGUGCUUCACAUGUAACCAAACUUAUUGUUAUCUGCAUUAAAAGCAAAAGAUGCUAAAAACACACACAUUUGAUCGUUGAAGAUGUUUUUAAAUUGUUUUCUUAAUUAUUUUUCAUUUAAAAAAAUAUGAAUCAAAGAAGUUUAAUAAUUAUAAUUAUUAAAUAUUUUGAAAUAAAAUGAUCCAUCUAUAUUAAAAAAAAACAUCAUUCCCACGUGUGGAAGAUAAAAUUAAUCAACCUAAUCUUAUUGGAUUGCAUUUUAUUAAAUCAAACCAUCAGUAUCUUUAAUGCAGGAUAUUUUUGUUUUUCCAAUUCAAGUAUACUUUUUAAUAUAAUAAAUUUUUUUAACCUAUUUUUUUAUUAUUAUUUUAGUAUCAUUUUGUUAUUUCUAAUAGUUUGUGGUUACCAGUUUAGUCCUGAAUUCAUUAUUAGAACCAUCAAUUUUAAAAAUCAAUGUAAGUUGAUUUUUAUUAUUUUUUAUUUUUUAAAAUUAAUUUAUUAAAAAAAAAUUCCAUGAUUUCUUUUUAAGAGACUAACCCUUCAUCGACAAACACUAAUGUACCCUGAAAAACAUAAUCUUAUUACAUCUGACGCUUUAAAUUCCAACAAGGAGCACCUACACAUCGAAAUAAAGAAAAGUACUGAGUGCCUUGGCGGUGGGAGGAGCUCUGCUCCUGAGUUCGAGUGUUUACAUGUAUAUCUAUCAUUCUCGUGGUGUUUUAUAUAUCUAUUGGGUUUAUAAAGUAUUCAGUGGGAUUAGUUGUGGUGCGCGCAAACUGACCCGAACAUCCAAAUAAAUAAAUAAAUAAAGUAGAAACCCUGCAUGUGGGAAAUUUUUGUUAGGCCUCCAAUCUGAGGCUGUAACGAGCCCUGGAUCUACACACAAGAAAUUUCAUGGGAAAUGGGUUGAUGUCAUAGGGAGACAAGGAAGCGUACUUUCAAAAGACCAUGAGACAAAUCAACGGCUGAAAUCCAAUCACUCAAGGGAUGGUGACAUGUUACCAUGAGUGGGAGACUGCUAGUCUCCAUCUAAAUGUUUAAAGAUGACUGGGUAUCUUAGUAAUUGUAUAACAAUUGAUUUUUUUUGCUGAAGUUGUCGGUGUGGAUGAGAAAAUACUGAGUUUGUAGCUUAGUAAAAACAUGUUGAUGUUGAUGUUACUUUUUAUUAGCUCAUGGUUGGCCCGUAAAUUAUAAUGGGUCCCACAAUCACAAACCUAUGAUUCACAUGUAAUUUAUGUUUUACAACUUAUUUUUAAAAUUAUUUUUUAUAUAUAUUUUUAUACCAUUUUUAUUUUAAAAAUUUUAAGUUUAAAAAAUAUUAUUUUAAUAUAUUUUUAAAUAAAAAAUACUUAAAAAAAAAAUUAAUAUCAGACACAGUGAAUGUUUUAUAAAAUUUUACAAUCGCUUUUACAUUUUGUUUAGAUCACAUUUGAAAAUGCGGUACACUACAAUAAAGUCCGUUAUAUGAUUAAGGGUAUGUUUGGUAUUGCGGUUGCUGUUGUGAUUGUAAUUAUGGUUUUAAAAAAAAUUGUUUUAUAAAAAGUAAUUUUAGUUGAGGUUGGUUUGAAAAAAUAUAUGUUUGGUUAAAACUGUAGUUGAAAUUGAGGUUGAACAAAAAAUAGUUUAAUGUGUUUGGUUAAAAAAAUGUUUUUCAAAUUGAUGUUAUAAAAUCAUUAAUAUAUAUAUAUACUAAUAUUAAUUAUUUUUAAUUUAAAUAUUGUAGAUUUAACUACUGUUAUUACAUCAUGAAAUAAAUAAUAUUAAUAUCAAAUAUUUUUUAUUAUUAGAUUAAAAUAUAUGUAAUCUCAUUACAUAUGAAAUCUAUCAAACAAGGACUAUAUUUUUCAUGGUUUCUUAAGCGUGCAACAACAAAAACUGAUUUUUUAAAUUUAUAUAGUGUUAUUAAAUAAUAAAGAUUGUGAUAUAUUUAUUAUUGAAAUUGCGAUCAAAUUUCAUAAAUGCUACGUCAUCAUGCGAUAUCUUUCUAAUUUAUAUAGUGUUAUUAAAUAAUAUUAAAUACUAGUUUUUCGAGUAAAACAAUUUAAAAAAAUAUAUAUAAUUUCACUACGUACAAAAGUUAUUCGACAAAAACUACAGUUUUCAUGAUUUUUUGAGCAUGUAAUAAAAUUAGGUAAAAUAUUAUCACGAAUAAAAUUGAGAUUACAGUACGAGUAAAUUUAAUUCACCUUAAACUAAUUUUUUUAAAAAAAAUAUCGUUUACUAUUAACUGCACUGGUUUUUUAGGGGGGAAAAUAAACUUUGCUCACCGGUUUUUUUUUUUAAAAAAAUAAAUAAAUAAACUUUUCUUACAGAUUUUUUCUUUUUUUAAAAAAAGAAGACAUGGUGACAAUGGAGCCAUGCUCCACUGUUAAGUGGUUGUUACCCACGAGAAGCAGUAAAAAUAACGUGGACCCUAUCAAGCAAAAUCAAUCUUGCUUGAUUACCAAACAUUAAAAUAUGUGGCUGCGAGUAAACUCGCCACACUACCAAACAACAUCUAAAGUCUUUAAUUGUCUUGCAUUUAUCUUUAAAACUGCUAUAAGAAUUAAUUAAUUGUGUCAAUUCAAUUCUUUCGAUUGACAUUGAUGCCAAACAUGUUAAUUCAUGAUAUAAUUAAGCAAUUCAAUACAAAUUUACUAAUAUAAUUUAUUUCGGCUUAAACCUUUGAAUAAAGCAAAAUGCAGAGGUUGUGAAAGUGAAAUACCUUAAUAAUUUUUAUGCUUUACAACUCUAGGAGCCACACAAAAUAUAAUGCGUUUGUUACUAUUUAUUUGUUAAAAAGUAUUUUUUUUAUUAAAAAAUGAUUUUUUAAAAAAUAAAUUGAAAAAUAUUUUUUAAUAUUUGAUUAUUUUAUAUAAAACAAGCCAAAAAAUAUUUUUUUAAUUUUCUUCUCAAAUUUAUUAAAAGAAUAAGAAACAAAUAUUUCAAAUAAAAAUAUUGAAGGAAGAUGAAAUUAAAAAAUAUAUAUAUUUUUAUAAAUUAUUUUAAAUAAAAUAAAUAAUAAUUAGAAGAAUAAGAAACAAAUGAAAAAUUAAAAAAUUAAAAAAAAAUAAAACAGAAAUAAAUAAUAAUCAAAAUAAAAAAUUAAUACAAAAAUAAUAUUAAACCAAUAAUUUAAUUUAAAAAAAAACAAAAUAUAAUUUAUAAUUUAUAAUUUAUUUAUUUGCUUUAUCAAUGAAAAGUGAUGGUAGGAGGGAGAGAGAGAGGAAAUAAAGUGAAGUCUUCUGCUGCCUGAUCACAUCACGUGAAGAGCUUGGCAUUUAGUGAAGUUUUUCCGAUCAAACCCACUUUUUUCAAAGAUGGAAUUUAUUGGAAAAUAAAUGAAAGACAAACCGAGUAAAAUGGAGUCCAGAGCAUACAAGAGCCGAGAUUGAAACAGGAAAUGCAAGAAAAAGAAGAUGGGCCCUUGUUUUCUCUUUUUACGGCCGGCGACCGGAUAUAAAAAGGGAGGAGAUGAAGCUUUCAAAUUAUUUUCAAUUUUGCGGUCACUUAUUGUGUCCAUGUCAUUUUGUGUAAUUGCCCAGCUACCGGUACUAUUUUAACACUGUUAAAAGUCUAAAUCAUCAAUAUUUCCCCAAUUUAUCUCUAAAAAAAAUUCACUUCAAUUAAUAGCAUUUUUUUAUUAUUUCUUAUGUCAAUGUUUACCUCUUUUUGAUAAACUCGUAUAUUUUUGUACCAGAGGUCUAAAAUUAUUCUGUCCACUUAUUACUUAUUUAAAUUUAUUAGAAUGUUUUAAAUAACUUUUUUAAAUUUUAAUCCCAGAGUUUACAUGCAUAAUACAUGAGUUAUAUAAAUUAUGAUUCAAAAUAUUGUUAUAACUAAAUUAAAAGAAAAAUUCAGAGUUAAUUUCUUGAAUAUUAAGUUUUCUGAUUUUUCUAUAUAAUUAAUUUUUUAAGUUGAUUUGAUUAGUAUUAUUAUACUUUUCUCAUUCUCGAUAAAAGAAAAAAGAAAAAACCAGAAGAGUAUUUUCUUUCUAUUGAAAAUAUUUGUGGUUAGAAGAAAGUAAUUUUCACUGGAGUGUCGUUUUGGGAUGCAACAUGAACUUGACCUGUCUAAUUUGUACGGCAUGAGAAGAUGUUGCUUUACAUGGCUUCCUCCUUAAAAAAAUUCCAUCACAUUUGAGAAUUUUGUUAUAAAAAAGAUAUCUCUUUUAAAGAAGAAAAGUGAUACCUAAAAUUUAUAAAUGAUCUAAACUCUUAAUUUUUAAUCGAUGUAAAAUGUUAGAGUAUCAUGUUCCUGAAAAAAUCUUUCUAAGUGUAUAAUAUGUUGCAUUUGGGGCAAAAUUAAUAGUUUUGAAUGUUUUUAUUACUGAAACUUUUUUUUUUCUCAACCUCUUUUUCUCUCUCUUCUUGUCAAAUACAAAAGGUUUUUUUUUUAAUUUUUUAAAUAAUUUUAUUUUUAUUUAUUUUAUUUUUAUCUUUUGUAGAUUUGUUUUUUUAUUUAUUUUGUUUUUUAUCGUUUGAUUUUAUUUAUUUUUUUAUUAAACAUUAACUUUAUUUUUAUUUAUUAUUUUUUUAAUUAAACAUCCUUUUUAAUUUAUCUCUUAAUAUUUAAUUUUAAUAUCAAAUUUAAUUAGUCCUAUUUUAUCUUACACUUUAAAUUCCUACAAGUACCCGAUCAAACAAUAUCUGCAUUCAAUUAAAACUUAUGGUACAAUUACCUCAUAGCGAAAAAAAAAAAAAAGUAGAGACCAACUAAGAAAUUUAUGUGCUGUUCCCAGCUAUGUUGCUGACAUUGGACAAGAGAGACUUCUUCAGCCACCGAUAAAAUUAUUUUUGUUGACUUUUUGUGCAGUUUGUCACUUUGCUUCGAUCUUUCUCUCUUUGCACCACAAACACUUGGACAUGGUAGAUACCAAGCACGGUUUUGCUGUCAAUGUACGAUACCAUAUUUGACAAUAUCUUUUUUUUUCUUUUUUCUUUUUUAUGAAGAGUAGUAUGUUGGUUAUCUAUGUAUGUUUUUUAAAAAAUCACAUAUAUAUUUAUCUAAAAUUAUUGAUAUUUAAAAAAUUACAUUAUUUUUUUAAUAAUUCGUUCCGCUGUUCUUUUAGAAUUAAGCGAAUAUUAUGCAAAGCUUCAAGUUUUGUGUAAUUGUUUUUAAUACAAGAGAGUUUAACCAUUUUAAAAUGUUUAAUGAGUUAUUUAAAAUAUUGAAAGUAAUGUACAAUAACUAAUUUAUAAUUUUAUCAUUGCUCUUGCUUUAUUAUAGGUCAAGUCAAGAUUUUCUUAAAAAUAAAAAAUUAUUUAAAUUGUGAAUGUUUUAAUUUAUUCUGGUAAAACAAAUUUAAAUUGUGUGGUGAUUUAACUUGAUUGAAUUUGUAGUUUAAAAAACAAUCUAGAUAACCAGUAAAAAUAUAAUUUAACUCGUAAAAAAUUUCAAGAUUACAUAUAUUUUUUUAAUAUUAAGAUAACAACAAAUUAAUUGAUUUGGGUCAACUCAAUUUAACUUAUUAAAUUCAUAACCCGAGUUAUGAGAUUAUGAUAACCAUGUAGAAAAUAAAUUAUUAAGUCUAAUUCUCAACUACCAAAUAUUAAAAGAUAAAAUUAAAAUAAAUAAAUAAACCAUGUGGAGAUUGAUUCGAUGUGACUUAAUUGAUUUAGCUUGUUCAAAAACAACCCGGAUAAUCAGUAAAAAUAUAAUCUGACUUAGAAAAAAAUUCAAGAUGAUACUUUUUUUCCAAUACAAAGAUAAUAAAGUAAUAGAUUGAAUUGGGUUAACCAGAGUUAACUUGUUAAAUUUUUUAUCUGGGUAUAAGACUGUGAAAUCUAAUUCCUAUUCAACUAAAUAUUUAAUGGUAUAAUUGAAAAAUAAAAUCAAUUAAAAAAUGAUCUAAAAAUAUGAACAUAAUUAACAUGUCAAGUUCAUAACCUAUGUUAUAAUAAAGAUACAAUCUUAUAGAAAAAAAAAAUCAAAAUAAAUUAUGAAGUUCAAUCUUAAAUAACCAAAUUUUAAAAGAUAAAUUUUUUUAAAAAGAACGUAAAAAUGACCCGAGUAAAUCCACCAAACUCAUAACUCGUUAUGAGAUCGAGAUAAUCUUAUAUAAAAAAAAAUUACAUGAUUUAACUCGUCAAAUCUAUGACUUUGGUAACAAGACCAAGACAACCUCUUAAAGAGUAAAUAAAAAUAAAUUAAAAGUGCAAUCCCUAAUUGACCAUGUCAAACUCGAUGUGAAUGAUGCAAUUUCUAAAAAUUUAAAUUAAAAAAUAACAUAAAAAAUAAUUUAGACCAACCCGUCAAGCAUCAUUAUUAGAUUACGAGGCUAGGAUAACAUAAUAAAAAUAAAAUCAAAACAAACCACAAAGUCUAAAUUCUAAUAAAAUAUAUUAUUAAAUAAUAAAAUUGAAGAAAAAAAAUUAAUUAAAAGAAAUUCGAGUCAAUUAGGCUAACUUGCUAAGCCUGUGAGUUAGGUUAUAAAACAAAAAUAACCCAAUAAAAAGUAAUUUCACUAUUGAAGGACUCGUGAUCUACGUCAUGAAAUCAACAUAACCUCUUACAAACAAAAUAAAAAAAAAACAACUCAAUUUAAUUUGGAUUAAAAUGUCAAAACCUCCACCUCUAAUCAUAAAACUAGGAUAAUUAUAUAGAAAAUAAUUUGAAAUAGAUUAUGAAAUUCCAUUCCCAACUGACAUUAUAUCAAAUGAUAAAGUUAGAAAAAAAAUUCAAUUAAAAAAAUAUAAAAUAUAACCCGAGUCAAUUUAGGCUAAUAUGUUAAGUAUUAUUUCCAAUUUAUGAGGUUAGAAUAAUCUAAUACAAAACAAAUAAAACAAAAUAUGAAACUUAAUUUUUAAUUAAAAGAUAAAAUUGUAAAAAAAAUUUAAUUAAAAAAAAUCAAGUUAAGUGAGUGAAUCCAUUAAAUCUACAAUUUUUAUUAUAAAAGUGAGACAACUUAAUAAAAAUAAAUUAAUAUUAAAAUAAAAAACAUUCAAUAAAAAAAACACUCAUUCAGAUAAUUGUAUAAAACAUAAUAAUAUAAAGUAUAAUUUAUGAUUUAUUUAUUUAUUUUAGCAUUUAGUGAAGUCUUUCCAAUCAAACCCCUUUUUUUUUUUUAUAAUUUAUAAAAAAUAAAAAUAUUUUAUUUUAAUAAAUGUUUAAAUAAAAAACAAUAAGAGACAACCGUGACCACUUAAAUGGACUCCUAAGCACACCAAGUUAAGAGUUAAAGAGCCGAGAGAGAAAAAGCUUUUGCCAGUUCUUUACACAUUCUUUCCCCUUCUGUCACCUGAACAAAAUCCCCUCUUCUUCUUCUUGUUUGUUUACUCUUCCUUCGUUACUUUGCAAAGAGGAGAAACCAUGGCCGGGGCUUUAGUAGGAGGAGCUUUUCUUUCUUCUUUCCUUAAUGUUUUGUUCGACAGGAUGGCCUCUCCCCAGGUGAUUGCCUUCUUCAGAGGCCAAAAAGUCAACGAUAGUAGUCUGCUGCAGAACUUUGAAGAAAACAAUGACAUCUCUCAGGGUGGUGCUUGAAGAUGCUGAGGAGAAGCAGAUAACAAGUUUAACUGUGCGGGAUUGGCUGGUCGAUCUUAAAGACGCUGUCUAUAACGCCGACGACUUCUUGGAUGAGAUUGCUUAUGAAGCUCUACGGCAGGAGUUGGAAGCUGAAGAGCAAACCUUCACAGGUCAGACGCAGAAGCUUCUUUCUUUCAUUAACCCACUUGAAAUACUGGGGUCGAGAGAGAUCGAAGAAAAAAUAGAAGUCCUUUUGCAGGAUCUAGAUCCCUUAGUUGCAGGAAUGGCAGCCCUUGGUUUGAACAACCGCAAUGUAGAAAAUCCAUCAUCGCAUAGAACACCAACAACUUCUCUCGUGGAUGGAUCUGGUGUUUAUGGCAGAGAUGAUGACAGGGAAGCAAUACUGAAGUUGCUUCUAUCAAAGGAUGCAAAUGGAGGAAACCCUGGUGUCGUCCCCAUUAGGGGAAUGGGCGGGGUUGGUAAAACCACGCUUGCUCAGCUUGUAUACAAUCACAGAAGAGUACAGAAGCGGUUCGACCUCAAAGCUUGGGUUUGUGUUUCAGAAGAUUUCAGUGUUUUGAAGUUAACCAAGGCGAUCCUUGAGGGGUUCGGUUCAAAGCCUGCUUCUGAUAAUCUGGAUAAGCUCCAGCUUCAGUUGAAGGACAGAUUGGAGGGAAAGAGAUUCUUGCUUGUUUUAGAUGACGUUUGGAAUGAAGAUUAUGCUGAGUGGGACAAGUUGCUUACCCCCCUGAAGUACGGAGCACAAGGGAGUAAGAUUCUUGUCACAACACGCAAUGAAAGUGUAGCAUCAGUCAUGAGAACUGUUCCAACUCAUCAUCUAAAAGAAUUGACGGAAGACAGCUGCUGGUCCUUGUUUGCCAAACAUGCAUUUCGUGGUGAAAAUCCCAAUGCUCAUGAAGAGUUGCUAGAGAUUGGAAGAGAAAUAGUGAGAAAGUGUAAAGGCCUUCCUCUAGCUGCGAAAACACUCGGAGGUCUGCUACGCACCAAAAGAGAUGUCGAGGAGUGGGAGAAGAUAUUGGAAAGCAAUCUAUGGGAUUUACCCAAAGACAAUAUCCUCCCAGCUUUGAGAUUAAGUUAUCAUCAUCUCCCGUCACAUCUGAAGCAAUGUUUUGCUUAUUGUGCCAUAUUUCCAAAAGACCAUGAAUUUCAAAAGGAUGAAUUAGUGCUCUGUGGAUGGCAGAGGGCUUCUUAGUCCCUCUGCAGUAGAUGAUG